rnacentral:rRNA from 1 species
AGGGAAUCUUCCGCAAUGGACGAAAGUCUGACGGAGCAACGCCGCGUGAGUGAUGAAGGUCUUCGGAUCGUAAAACUCUGUUGUUAGGGAAGAACAAGUAUAAGGCGAAUAACCUUAUACCUUGACGGUACCUAACCAGAAAGCCCCGGCUAACUACGUGCCAGCAGCCGCGGUAAUACGUAGGGGGCGAGCGUUGUCCGGAAUUAUUGGGCGUAAAGGGUGCGUAGGCGGUCUUCUAAGUCUGAUGUGAAAGCCCCCGGCUUAACCGGGGAGGGUCAUUGGAAACUGGAAGACUUGAGUGCAGAAGAGGAGAGCGGAAUUCCACGUGUAGCGGUGAAAUGCGUAGAGAUGUGGAGGAACACCAGUGGCGAAGGCGGCUCUCUGGUCUGUAACUGACGCUGAGGCACGAAAGCGUGGGGAGCAAAC